CAUGCAAGUCGAACGGAAACCUUCGGGUUUUAGUGGCGAACGGGUGAGUAACACGUAAGCAACCUACCCUAAAGACGAGGAUAACCAUUGGAAACAGUGGCUAAGACUGGAUAGGAAGAUAAAAGGCAUCUUGUAUCUUUUAAAAGACCUAGUUAAUAGGUAUGCUUUAGGAGGGGCUUGCGCCAUAUUAGUUAGUUGGUAGGGUAAUGGCCUACCAAGACGAUGAUGUGUAGCUGGACUGAGAGGUUGAACAGCCACAUUGGGACUGAGACACGGCCCAAACUCCUACGGGAGGCAGCAGUAGGGAAUUUUCGGCAAUGGAGGAAACUCUGACCGAGCAACGCCGCGUGAAUGACGAAGUACUUCGGUAUGUAAAGUUCUUUUAUCGAGGAAGAAAAGCAAAUGGCGAACCAUUUGUUUGCCGGUACUUGAUGAAUAAGCCCCGGCUAAUUAUGUGCCAGCAGCCGCGGUAAGACAUAAGGGGCAAGUGUUAUCCGGAAUUAUUGGGCGUAAAGGGUGCGUAGGCGGUCUAGUAAGUCAGUGGUGUAAUGGCAACGCUUAACGUUGUCCGGCUAUUGAAACUGCUAAACUUGAGUUAGAUAGAGGCGAGUGGAAUUCCAUGUGUAGCGGUAAAAUGCGUAAAUAUAUGGAGGAACACCAGAGGCGUAGGCGGCUCGCUGGGUCUUAACUGACGGUGAGGCACGAAAGCGUGGGGAGCAAACAGGAUUAGAUACCCUGGUAGUCCACGCCGUAAACGAUGAGUACUAAGUGUCGGGUUAAACCGGUACUGAAGUUAACACAUUAAGUACUCCGCCUGAGUAGUACGUACGCAAGUAUGAAACUUAAAGGAAUUGACGGGACUCCGCACAAGCGGUGGAUCAUGUUGUUUAAUUCGAAGAUACCCGAAAAACCUUACCAGGUCUUGACAUGUUUUUGCAAAAUGAUAGUAAUAUCGUGGAGGUUACCAGAAACACAGGUGGUGCAUGGUUGUCGUCAGCUCGUGUCGUGAGAUGUUAGGUUAAGUCCUAAAACGAGCGAAACCCUUAUCGUUAGUUGCCAGCACGUUAUGGUGGGGACUUUAACGAGACUGCCAAUGAUAAAUUGGAGGAAGGUGAGGAUCACGUCAAAUCAGCAUGCCCCUUAUGACCUGGGCUACAAACGUGAUACAAUGGCUGUUACAAAGGGUAGCUGAAACGCAAGUUCUUGGCCAAUCCCCAAAAACAGUCCCAGUCCGGAUUGAAGUCUGCAACUCGACUUCAUGAAGUUGGAAUCGCUAGUAAUCGCGAAUCAGCAUGUCGCGGUGAAUACGUUCUCGGGGUUUGUACACACCGCCCGUCAAACCACGAAAGUUGGCAAUACCCCAAAACGGUAGCCUAACUCGUUUAUUCGAGAGGGCGCCGUCUAAGGUAGGGUCGAUGAUUGGGGUUAAG
rnacentral:rRNA from 1 species